rnacentral:rRNA from 1 species
GACGAACGCUGGCGGCGUGCCUAAUACAUGCAAGUCGAGCGGACUUGAAGGAGCUUGCUCCUGAUGGUCAGCGGCAGACGGGUGAGUAACACGUGGGAAACCUGCCUGUAAGACUGGGAUAACUUCGGGAAACCGGAGCUAAUACCGGAUACGUUCUUUUCUCGCAUGAGAGAAGAUGGAAAGACGGUUUCGGCUGUCCCUUACAGAUGGGCCCGCGGCGCAUUAGCUAGUUGGUGGGGUAAUGGCCCACCAAGGCGACGAUGCGUAGCCGACCUGAGAGGGUGAUCGGCCACACUGGGACUGAGACACGGCCCAGACUCCUACGGGAGGCAGCAGUAGGGAAUCUUCCGCAAUGGACGAAAGUCUGACGGAGCAACGCCGCGUGAGUGAAGAAGGUUUUCGGAUCGUAAAACUCUGUUGUCAGGGAAGAACAAGUACCAUAGUAACUGAUGGUACCUUGACGGUACCUGACCAGAAAGCCACGGCUAACUACGUGCCAGCCGCCGCCGUAAUAC